ensembl:misc_RNA 7SK 7SK RNA
GGGUGUGAAGGCGAUGUGGCUGCAACAUCUGUGACCCCACUAAUCGCCAGGGUUGAUUCUCGGCUGAUCUGGCUGGCUACCCUCACUGCUCCAUGUUCGUCCCUCCCGAAGCUGUGCGCUCGGUUGAAGAGGAGGGCCUUCCCCAAAUAGAGACGGACCAGUCUUCGGUCAAGGGUAUAUGAGUAGCUGCGCUGCCCUGCUAGAACCUCCAAACAAGUAAUGGUAGAAUGAUGGACUUGCCAGCAUGAGGUCCUGAGCUUACCAGCACUGCAUAUGCCAGAGUGAUACUCUAG